rnacentral:lncRNA from 1 species
UUUGAAAAUAGGAGUAGAUCUUGUGUGCUCUUAGGAGCACGGAGGCCUCCGUGCUCCUAAGUCGUUUCAACGAUGGAGCUUCCGAAUCGGCGAUCGGCUCCGUUAAAUUUGAUCUAGCGUAUUUGAACUAUCUAGAAAAUAUUUUUUUUGAUUUUUCGGUAUCAUUUUCCUAGCGAUCGAAAGGGUUCAAAAUCAAUAAUUUUUAAUGGUUGAUGUAUACCGUUUGCAAGUUUAACGGUGUAGAAGUAUUCAAAUCAGAUAAAAUUUUGAUAGAAAAUUCUUUAUACUAUUUACAGUAAGAUCAAUAUGUUUGAUCGAAAAUUUUAACGCUAUGUCAUAACUUUUUUUUGAGAUUUUUAUUUUCAACCGUUGAUUUUGAACCCUUUAGAUCAUUAGGUAAAUAAUAUCGAAAAGUCACAAAGUUUAUUUUUAGAUACUUCAAAUACGUUAGAUCAAGUCUAACGGAGCCGAUCGUCGAUUCAAAAGCUCCAUCAUCGAAAACGGCUUAGGAGCACGGAAGCCUCCGUGCUCCUAAUA